UACGUAGGAGGCGAGCGUUAUCCGGAUUCACUGGGCGUAAAGCGCAUGUAGGCGGUUGAUUAAGUCCGUUGUUAAAGCCCCUGGCUCAACUGGGGGAGGUCAAUGGAGACUAUUCGACUUGAGGGCAACAGAGGCACAUGGAACUCCCGGUGUAGCGGUGGAAUGCGUAGAGAUCGGGAAGAACACCCGUGGCGAAGGCGGUGUGCUGGGUUGCAACUGACACUGAUGGACGGAAGCUAGGGGAGCGAAUGGG
rnacentral:rRNA from 1 species